UGCUCAGCAACUCCUAUCCCUACCUCCGCGUGGCACUAGCCGGGCUGCGAGCAACCUUAGGGAAGACCGGAUAUCCUCGGUGGGAACUACGGUCGUAGGCUGAUAUGGAAGA
rnacentral:ribozyme from 1 species